rnacentral:rRNA from 1 species
AAGUAAUUCGCUUAAAGAUGAGCCCGCGCGAGAUUAGCUAGUUGGUGAGGUAAUGGCUCACCAAGGCUACGAUCUCUAGCUGGUCUGAGAGGAUGAUCAGCCACACUGGAACUGAGACACGGUCCAGACUCCUACGGGAGGCAGCAGUAGGGAAUAUUGCGCAAUGGGGGAAACCCUGACGCAGCGACGCCGCGUGAGUGAUGAAGGACUUCGGUUCGUAAAGCUCUGUCGCAGGGGAAUAACACCG